UACGAAGGGGGCUAGCGUUGCUCGGAAUCACUGGGCGUAAAGGGUGCGUAGGCGGGUCUUUAAGUCAGGGGUGAAAUCCUGGAGCUCAACUCCAGAACUGCCUUUGAUACUGAAGAUCUUGAGUUCGGGAGAGGUGAGUGGAACUGCGAGUGUAGAGGUGAAAUUCGUAGAUAUUCGGAAGAACACCAGUGGCGAAGGCGACUCGCUGGACAGACAUUGACGCUGAGGUGACGAAAGCGUGGGGAGCAAACAGG
rnacentral:rRNA from 1 species